rnacentral:rRNA from 1 species
UUGCACGCUGGCGGCAGGCCUAACACAUGCAAGUCGAACGGUAACAGGAAGCAGCUUGCUGCUUUGCUGACGAGUGGCGGACGGGUGAGUAAUGUCUGGGAAACUGCCCGAUGGAGGGGGAUAACUACUGGAAACGGUAGCUAAUACCGCAUAACGUCGCAAGACCAAAGAGGGGGACCUUAGGGCCUCUUGCCAUCGGAUGUGCCCAGAUGGGAUUAGCUAGUAGGUGGGGUAACGACUCACCUAGGCGACGAUCCCUAGCUGGUCUGAGAGGAUGACCAGCCACACGAGAACUGAGACACGGUCCAGACUCCUACGGGAGGCAGCAGUGGGGAAUAUUGCACAAUGGGCGCAAGCCUGAUGCAGCCAUGCCGCGUGUAUGAAGAAGGCCUUCGGGUUGUAAAGUACUUUCAGCGGGGAGGAAGGGAGUAAAGUUAAUACCUUUGCUCAUUGACGUUACCCGCAGAAGAAGCACCGGCUAACUCCGUG